AGAACAAUCCAAAUAAGCAUUCAGACUAACCAGGAACUCUGGAAAGGAAUUCAUCAUGGAUACUCUACCAUAACACCCAUGGACAGCUUCCCCUGAAGGGUCAUGGAGUCUCCACAAGCUGCCAGACCUGUGCAGCCAAGCACGGCAGUCACACUCACCCAGGCUCUUUAUUUUGCCAUCCCAGAAGGAAGUGUCUGAGGGUCAUAGAGCACUGUAGCACUUAACAGGUUGCCAUGCAAAGGGAAAUAGUGCCUUACUAUAAGUGGGUUGAGCUAUGCAGAAGAUAAUGUGCAUGACAAACACCUUUAUUUUCUUUACAUCAACCUUGUUUUCUUAGAUAAAAUGGUUUUGUGAUUUUGGUUUCUUUCUUUUUUCUCCCCUUUUAUUCUUUUCUUUGGUGGAGGAGGGUAAGAAAAGCUAUCUGCGCUAUUUUCAAAAGAAGGGUGGUGUGUCUCAGGACAGAAGGAGGCUCUUGUCAUCCAGCUACGUCACAUUUACCCUCCCCACUUUGGUAAAGACUCUGAUGCUACAUGGCAACUUAUGAAAUCUUUGUAUGAAAAAAGAGACUGCAAAAAUACAACUUUCAAAAGAAAUAAUUCAUUGCAUGUUUAUUAUGCAAGUUUAAAUGAACAAAGAAAGCCCUCAGAAACAAGUUGAUCCACAUGGGAGAACUUUCGUGAUAAUUACAUCCGUAGUAACAAAGCUGUGGGCUUCCUCAUAUUUCUGGAGUCAGUGUCAUCCACCGACAGUUGGAACCAUCGCCAAUGUGACAGUAGUCUUGGGUUUUCCUCUUUCUUUUGGCCACCUGUGAUCAGUCAUUGGUUAAGGACGCCUUGACAGGCCAUCUUUUGAUAUCCAAGCUGAAGCAAUAUCCAUUCAGAGAUUUCAUUGGUUGCAUCAUAAGACAUGGGUGACCAUGUACAUCGAUUCAUUUUAUGUUUUUCUUUUUUCUUUUCUUUUUAUCAUUUUGAGUCCUUUUAAAUGUAAUUCUAAUCUUUACAAUUAAAAAAAGACAGGUUCAGAAUGGAAGCGAGGUCAUUCUGCGAACAUUGGAGAUCUUUUAUUACAAGUCUGCUUGUUAAUUUUAGAAUUGUAAAACGGCUCUAAUUAAACUAUUUAACU
rnacentral:lncRNA from 1 species